UCUGGUGCCGAUGCGCUUAGGGGAAACACCCGUUCCCAUCCCGAACACGACGGUUAAGACCUAAGCGGCCGAUGGUACUAUGCUGGAGACGGCAUGGGAGAGCAGGUGGGUGCCAG
rnacentral:rRNA from 1 species